rnacentral:lncRNA from 1 species
UUACAAUGAAAGUUCAGAGGACACAAAGGAACCUCUCCUUUUUUUCAAGGACCACACCUAGAGCUUCUCCUAAGACAAGUGUGAGUCAUAAGAAGAAAUAAACUCCCCAAAAACCCAAAUCCAAAAAAGAAAUUGUUGCCUCGACCGCUGGUCCCUUCCAACAAGAAAAAGAGAAGGAGACAAAGAAAGAAGAUGAACAACAAAAAGAAAGAGAAGAAGAAACACAAGAGACGAAUCAAGAACUAAC